UACGUAGGGUGCGAGCGUUAAUCGGAAUUACUGGGCGUAAAGCGUGCGCAGGCGGUUUUUUAAGUCAGAUGUGAAAGCCCCGGGCUUAACCUGGGAAUGGCAUUUGGGACUGCAAGGCUUGAGUGCGGCAGAGGAGACUGGAAUUCCCGGUGUAGCAGUGAAAUGCGUAGAUAUCGGGAGGAAUACCGAUGGCGAAGGCAGGUCUCUGGGCUGACACUGACGCUCAUGCACGAAAGCGUGGGGAGCAAACAGG
rnacentral:rRNA from 1 species